AUUGAGGCAUUGCUCUGCUUGACAUUGCAAUGUCUAGUUGACUAAGGCAACUAAGUGUCUAAAUCACUUCUGAAAAUGAGACUUGAUCUCCUAAGUCAGUUAGUGCUGAAGAGAGCCAUUUUGGAAAACCUGGGGCUUUGUCUACAUAAAC